rnacentral:ncRNA from 2 species
AAAUGAACAGCCCACACAGGUGCGCAGCGAUGCGCGGCGUCGGACACGGGCGUGUUCGGCGAACAUGGGAAGCCGGUGCAAGACCGGCGCUGUCCCAGCAACCGUGAAGCAGACAAGGGAGCGUGUGCCGAGGAAAAUCGGUGCAGCCACUGGCGAAAAAAUCGCUGGGAAGGUGCUCCUGCGGAGGAAGCCAAGCCGGGAGACCUGCCUGUGAACGGGAAAACGC